rnacentral:lncRNA from 1 species
GGCAGAGAGAAAACCAAGGAUGUUUCAAGCUACACCCUCCAUAUCAAGAAGUGAAGAAGAACCAAGGAUGUUUUAUCGAUGGAGAAAACGAGCUAUGGCACAUUGUGUCCACUUCUGCAAUGGAAUUAACCAGAUUGUAGAAAACGAAAAAAUUGCAAUCCAAUCCCGGAUCUCUCCCUGCAUAAAUUUUAACAUAAAGGAAUGGUACCUUGAAUCGGAUCCAGGACCUUUGAAUGGAAAGCCAAAGUAUUUCAUGUAACCGAUUCAGACAAUUAAUUGACUGUUUUGGCCUAUAUGUCGUGUAUGUGCAUAUCUAUGUCUAUGUGUAUGUGUCAAAAGCAAU